UGGGGAAUAUUGGACAAUGGGCGCAAGCCUGAUCCAGCCAUGCCGCGUGUGUGAUGAAGGCCUUAGGGUUGUAAAGCACUUUCACCGGAGAAGAUAAUGACGGUAUCCGGAGAAGAAGCCCCGGCUAACUUCGUG
rnacentral:rRNA from 1 species